UCUAUCGAUAGUCUCUGCAGCCCUAGCGUGUAGCGAAAGAUCCGUUAUAUUAAGACUACGCCAUGCCCGUUGCGUAGGUUGUGGUUAUUGUGUUUUUGUUGUUAUGGGACAGUGCUCCAUCGAGAGCACAGAUAAGUGAGAUAUAUAAAGAGGCAGUGGUGCUGACAAGGAACACUUUAGAAGAAACCUACCACACACGAAAGCAAUGCUCCCUUAAUGGGUAAUAUUUCAUCCAUAAUAACAUAAAGAUGACGCUGGAGACAGCAGAUAUUUGGAAGGUCUGAUGGAGGUCUUUCCGUUGGAGAGUGGAAAUUGGACGUAAAAGCUAUACAACUUGCAUAGAAACUGGCAUCGAACAUACCAAGGAACAUUAAAUCCUAGACAAAGGGAAAAAAGCAAGAAAGACGCGUUAUUUGUUUUUUGACUAGCGAAAUAUUAACAUCGAUACUUUUGUGGGAUAAAUAUAAUAAGAAAAUAAUAUAUUUGAUGAAUUAAUAUAUUAACACACAAAUCCAGUGUGACGAUAGCACCGUGACAUCCGAUAUCAAUAUAUCGAUAGACAUGUCUUGAAACUGUUAAAUAAACAAUUAAUCAUUUAAGGCUUGUCUAAACGUGGCAGCAGCAGCUUUGUAGCAUUCGUAUCAAAUAACCAUUCAACAGGCUUUUAAUACAUAUUUUUGCCAUAUCGAUUUUAUGUAAUGAUUUACUACGUUGUGUAAAAUUUAGAAUUGAUAUAAAUUAUGCGAUAGUCCUGGAAAUCGUUAUGGUUUUUGGCCGUUUCUGAAAAUAAAGAUUUAUUUUAAAUAAA